UACGGGGGGGGCAAGCGUUGUUCGGAAUUACUGGGCGUAAAGGGCUCGUAGGCGGCCAACUAAGUCGGAUGUGAAAUCCCCAGGCUCAACCUGGGAACUGCAUCCGAUACUGGAUGGCUUGAGUUUGGGAGAGGGACGCGGAAUUCCAGGUGUAGCGGUGAAAUGCGUAGAUAUCUGGAGGAACACCGGUGGCGAAGGCGGCGUCCUGGACCAACACUGACACUGAUGAGCGAAAGCCAGGGGAGCAAACGGG
rnacentral:rRNA from 1 species